rnacentral:rRNA from 1 species
GAUGAACGCUGGCGGCGUGCCUAAUACAUGCAAGUCGAGCGAACAGACGAGGAGCUUGCUCCUCUGACGUUAGCGGCGGACGGGUGAGUAACACGUGGAUAACCUACCUAUAAGACUGGGAUAACUUCGGGAAACCGGAGCUAAUACCGGAUAAUAUAUUGAACCGCAUGGUUCAAUAGUGAAAGACGGUUUUGCUGUCACUUAUAGAUGGAUCCGCGCCGCAUUAGCUAGUUGGUAAGGUAACGGCUUACCAAGGCAACGAGGCGUAGCCGACCUGAGAGGGUGAUCGGCCACACUGGAACUGAGACACGGUCCAGACUCCUACGGGAGGCAGCAGUAGGGAAUCUUCCGCAAUGGGCGAAAGCCUGACGGAGCAACGCCGCGUGAGUGAUGAAGGUCUUCGGAUCGUAAAACUCUGUUAUUAGGGAAGAACAAAUGUGUAAGUAACUAUGCACGUCUUGACGGUACAUAAUCAGAAAGCCACGGCUAACUACGUG